GGCGUUUGUAGUAAGAGUUUACUGCGUUCUUGGAUAUCGCCACCAAUGUGGUAUGGCAGGCCACAGUUUGCAAAAGACACGAAUGGACCGCGCUCAAACAUGAUAAUUUCUGCGUCUUCACUCAGACGACGAGCGCGCGCUGCUGCAGAUGCGCCACCAGCGACACCAC
rfam:Vibrio sp. EJY3 chromosome 2, complete sequence.